ACAUUAGCAAUGUUAAAUAUAUAAAUACCUGCAUAUGAUUCACAAAAUGAACCAAGAGGUUUCAAAUAAGAAGCCACAGCACUGAAAAAAAACCUGAC